UACGGAGGGGGCUAGCGUUGUUCGGAAUUACUGGGCGUAAAGCGCACGUAGGCGGCUUUGUAAGUUAGAGGUGAAAGCCCAGGGCUUAACCCUGGAAUUGCCUUUAAGACUGCAUCGCUAGAAUCGUGGAGAGGUGAGUGGAAUUCCGAGUGUAGAGGUGAAAUUCGUAGAUAUUCGGAAGAACACCAACGGCGAAAGCACUCUGCUGGGCCGACACUGACACUGAGAGACGAAAGCUAGGGGAGCGAAUGGG
rnacentral:rRNA from 1 species